rnacentral:lncRNA from 1 species
AUGCCUUUCCGCGGCUGCAGCGUGGCGCUGGGAGAGGCAGCGCCUGACCUUGGCCCCGCACCCGCAGGCGUGGGGAACCCGGGAACUCCCGGCCGGGGGCUACACCGCAUUCCCCGGCCGCCGGGGCCCGCCCGUUCCCCCGGCACCGAGGGAGCGGCCUCACGCCCUUCAGGCCAUGCGGGCAACUCCGCGGCCCAAGAAAACGGGCCCCGAACAAGCAACAAAAGCGCCGCGGGGCCGCAGGGACUGCGGUUCCCCGAGCGCGAUGCGCCCGCCCGGGCCGCCGCCUCCGCCCGCUGCCCAGCGCCGAACAAAGCGCGGCCGCACGGCCCGUGCCCGGCCCCCGCCCGCCGUACCUGGUGCCUCUGGGCGCGGACGGCGCUGAACAUAUUGGGAGCCUCCAGAAUGCGGGGGAAGAAGACUCGCAGGCGCAACCCCGGCUGGCCGGGAAGGAGCAGCGGAGGAACAGAGGGAGCGGAGAGCGGAGGGCGCGGAGCUGCCGAUGGAAGGCGGGAGCGCAGUGGUUUUCUCCCUCUGAAGCUGCAUCACUGCUUUCACUCAUGGUCCUAGUGAAAAAUCAGAAUGUUAAUUAAGAAUGGUAACAGUUUCUGGAGGACAAACAGAGACCUGGUUGCCUCUAUCCCAAAGAAGAACUGUGCUGGGUUGUGCCAGGGGAGGAAAGGGAGACCUGGAAAUCCUCUCGUGAUGAAGCAUCAGGAAUGGCUGUUAGGCCACCACAGCUGGAAGAGGCUGCUCCUUGGCUGAAGCGUGUUCUUCAGCCUCCUGCAUCCCUGCCGUGGUCAUUAAGGGAUGGCUGUAAUCAGGAACACCAGAACACAGCAGCAGCAGCAGCCCGAGGGCACCAACAGCCUGGGGGACAGGCCUGCUCCCACUCAUCCCUGGCUGUGAGGCAUGCACUUCCUGUCCUCCCUGCUGCGAGACAGGUGAGCUUCUGAAAUAACAUAAAGGGUGAUCACGAAGGGAAUUAGCU